AGCAAAAUAUGUAUGGGGUCUCGAAAAAAAUCUUCGGGUCUUGGAGACUGAAUUGCACAAAUUGACUCGAGCAAGGGCCGAUCUGAAGACCAAGGUUGAGGUCGAAGAACAACGACCUCGAACCAGACGAACGAACCAGGUCGCAGGGUGGCUUGAAGAUGUGCAAAAACUGGAAACUGAAUUUACCGAGCUGGAACGAGUUAGAGCUCAUGAAAUGGAUAGAUUGUGCCUUGGAGGCCUCUGUUCCAAAAACUUCGUUUCAAGCUACAAUUACGGGACUCAGGUGGUCGAGUUGACGGAUCGAGUGAUCAAUUUAAAGAAAGACGGAGAAAAAAUUGAAGUCGUUGUUGAGAAGGCGCCGGAUGGUGCAGCAAUUGAAUUACCUCUUGAUCACACAGUUGUUGGUCAAGAACUAUUACUUGAUCAAGUUUGGAGAUGUAUCACUGAUCAGGAAAAUAACAGGGGAAUUAUCGGCUUGUAUGGUAUCGGGGGAGCCGGCAAAACUACCCUUUUAAAACAAGUCAACAACAACUUCUGCCAUCAACAGCAUAAUUUUGAUGUUGUUAUCUGGGCGGCUGCGUCAACACUUCAAGAUGACAUUGGAAAAAGGAUUGGCUUUUCAGAAGACAGAAACUGGAAGGAAAAAAGUUUAUAAUUAACGAAAGGGCCUUUUUCUUUUUUUAAAUCCCGCUAAAGGUUAUAAUUAACAACAAAUUAAUAAUAGAAGAGAGAGAAAUACCAAGUUCAAUAUGGUAAUAUUUUAUCUUCCCUUAACUGCUCCCCUUUGGCUUAUAAUGCGACCUUUAUACUCGUUGACAAAAUUGUAUUUGUCGCUUAAGUCUUGUUUGUUUUAAAAUGCUGGCAUAUUUAUGGAGUGGGAACUAGGGAUGGCAAUGGAGUGGAUUUGAUCCAAGAUCCAUGUGAUCCAAAUCCAAUCGGAUCGGAUUUGGAUCGGUUUAAAAUGGAUUUGGAUAUCGAUGUGCGGAUCUAAGACAGAUAUGGAGCAGAUAUGGAUCUAUCUUAAUAUCUAAAUCCAUAUCCAUAUCCACUCAUCUUUUAAUUUUAUUUUAUUUUAAAAGUUUAUUAAUAAUUGUGGAAUGAUAAUGAUAAUAAAUUUUAUUCAUAGCAUAUUAGUAAUAUUUACCAUGAAUUUAAACUCUUAAAACUUAAAGGUUAGUUUUGUAAAUUUAAAGGUCAGCCAGCCUCAAAACAUGUACAUGCAAUAUUCAAAUUGCAAUCCAAGUAAUAUAACCUGGUAAUAUAUUUUAUCAUAUUGGCCAAAUAAUUUUUAAGGAAUAUAGUUAUUCAUAUAUUUAGUCAAAUGUGGUCAUAAUAAAAAUAAUAAAUGACUGAAUAUAAAACAUAUUUAAUUUAUAUAUCAUUAUCUAAUGUUGUAGGAAUGAGGGUAGGUGUAUCGUGAAUACUAGAAUGAUGAAGGAGACAAUAGAAUAUUAGAUUGAUCUUACUCCUGCAAUUACUUCUGAAUGAUAUUUUAUUAUCUUUCUUAUUUGUUGUUUUGGUAUAGAAGUAUAAGCUACAAUAUUUAUUAUAUUUUUGAGAAAAAUUAUAUAAUUUAUUUGUUAUCAAUACAUUUUAGCCUUCAAUUUUCAAUCUAAAAAAUUAUUACUUUUUUAUUACGGAAUUUUAGAAUUCAUGACGGAUCUAGAGCAGAUUUGGAUUUUAAUUUUUUUUCGGAUUUGGAGCAGAUAUAGAUAUUUAUUUCUUUUUUGGAUCUGGAUAUGGAGCGAAAAAUAUGGAUUCAUAACAGAUCUGGAGCAGAUACUGAUCUUGAUUUUUAUUAUGGAUUUGGAUCUGGAGCAGAGUAGAUCCAACCCAUAUCUGCCCCAUUGCCAUCCCUAGUGGGAACCCAGAUGCUGAACUCAUAGUAAAUAUUUAUUUAAUUUGUUAUAAUUACAUUUGGUGGGAUAAUUUUAAAUAUUAAUUUAACAAGAUAGUGAUGUUUGCCUUGCCCUACAUGAAGAAAAAUAAGUAAUUAAAGAUUUUUCUUUUCCUUUAUAUUAGUAAUAGAUUUCAAAUGGAAAACAGACAAAUUUCAUUUUUGUUUCAAUAAUUACCCUAUCACUGUGUGCGUGCGUGAUCACAUAAUUUUGUACUACCGUCUGUGGAAUAACUUUAGGAAAAGAAAAUUAAUUUUUUUUAAGUAAUGAUAAAUAUUUUAAAAUUUUAUCUUAAAUUGUUUUCUUCUCUUAUCAAUUUUUUUUUUCUCCUAUCUUCCAAUGAAAGUGCAGGACCUCAAUUAUUUUAAUAGAGAUGUAGUAAUAAAUUAUUAAUGAAACAUGUCAAAUCCAAUGUAUAGAUAAUAAUAAAAUGAGGCUAAUGCUAAGUUACAUACAUGUAACUUAGGGGAUCCAUAAAAUAAAUAUACAUGGUUUCAAAAAAGUUAGCACAUGCUUGUUACAAAUAUAAAACAUUAUCUUAAAAGUCUCUGAACUUUUGUGUUCUCUUUAACAUUUUUCUCUUAUGUUGUUUUUGUACUAUAUGGAUACAAGAGUGCGUUUGGCACGCUGUAUUAUAUUAUGUUGUAUUGCAUUAUUUUAAUGCAGGUGUAUUGCAUUAUGUUGUGUUGCAUUAGUAAUGUAUUAUAAUAAUGUUGUACAAUGUUUGGUACUAUAUUGUACUGUAUUAAUUUUUAAUUAUAUUAUAUUUGAUAUUGCACUAUAUUGUAUUAAUUUUUUGUGACUAAUUUAAAUUAUAUAUUUAGAAAAUACUAAUGAAUUGUGCUAAACAAUCUAAUAAUUAUAUAUUUUAUUAAUUUUUAAUUAAUAUUAUUCAAAUUUAUUCAUAUUUAAAUAUUAUUAUUAGUUAUAUUAAAUUAUUUAAAAAUAACUAGUUUAAUUAUUUUAAUAAAUUAAAUAAUAUUAUAUUAUAUUAUAUUAUUUAAGUAUUUAUUAUUAGUUAUAUUAACUUAUUAAAAAUUAAUUAAUUAAAUAUAUUAAUUGAUAUAAUUUUACAUAUUAAUUAAUAUAAUAUAAUUAAAUAAUACAUUUUUUAGUUGUACAUUUACUAUGAUAAAAAUUAAAAUAUAAUAUAAUAUUAUUAAACAAUAAAUUUAUUAAUUUAUAUUAAAAUUAUAAUGUAAAAAUAAUAUUAUAUAAUAUAAUAUUAAAUUAAAAAUUAUAUUCAUUUAUCAUUAUUACAAAGUAUAUAAAAAAAAAAAAAAAAGAGGAAGCUAAAACUAAAGUGGUAACUGGACGCAUUAGCUAAACCCGACUAUAUGUCGGGUUUAGCUAAUAUAGCCAUUUGGUACCCCAAACAUGGGGCUGCAUUGCUAAUGUAAUGCAAUCCCAGGUAAAGAGGGGUACCAAACAACCCCCAAGUUCACUUAAUGUAACAUAACAUACUUUUAUAUAUAUAUGUAUAUAUAUAUAUAUAUAUAUACACACUACGUGGAGGUGAGCUCCUUAAGGUGAGAUUUAUCAAAAUUAUAAAUUAUUACAACAUGAAAUUUAUUCUUAUUUAUAAUUGACCUAAUAUAAAUUAAGAUCGUUACUUUUAUAGCUACAUGAAAUUAUUCUUAUAUAAAAUAUCACUACAUAAAUGUUUUAUUGCAAUAUUGAUCUCUCUUUUUUCUUUAUUGUAUUUAUCUCUUCAUAAUCUUUUCCUUUUUAUUAAAAAAAAAUCAAAUAAAAGAUUCAUCAACAUCUCAGUCCAACAGUCUACCAGCGAAAACGAGUGUCCAUGCUUUUGAACCAAGGCCCAAUAUGUGAGGGAGAGAUUGUUGGGUUGUCUUAUAUCGGUUGUGAACUAGGAUGGGAUUGAAUGAGACCCAAAACUGCCUAACAUGAAUUCUAUCACUGGGAUUUUUACCCAGUAUAACAAACAUAACACAACGAAUUAUCAAUUUAUCACCUAAUGGCUCUAACUUUAGCGAUGAUCACCUUACAUGAACAUGAAAAUUAAUCCCAUUGUUUAACUCAACACUGACGAUAAUCACUUAAACUCUUAUGCACCGAAGGAUAUACUCGCUACAGGGAAUCUUAACUCAUAAAGAUGCUCCCACAUCUUCCAUUAAGUUUCCAUCGAACAACUAUUCAUAUCAUUCGAUGAAAAAUUAAUUUUAGUGAGGGCCAAAAGAGCACGAGUGAUCCAAACCACUAAACAACAUCAUAACCAACACAAAAUUCAUACUAAACAAACCAUUACCAAAACAGCAAAGCUAGACAUAAAUUUGAACAGAUACACAAGCUACAUUCAUUACCAUAAUGUAUCGACUAAAUUUCCAAGCUCUCCUGUGCUGCUUGUCUAACUGAUUCAAAUCCACAUAGAUAAAUUUAAGCACAUUAAGUUUUCAAACUCAAAUCAAACAGCUUUAAAAGUUACUUCACAAACAAUGAAUUUCAUUUUCGAAAUACAAAGAAUCCGUUCAGUUUAAAACAAUAAAAAAUCGUCUACGACUACUCAACUCAUGUAUUAUAACUAAAAAAACGAAGGAUACCCACAAAAAUUAAAGAUAAAUUACCAAAAACCCAAAAAACUCAAGCCAAAAUUGCCAAAAAAAAAAAAGCGAGAGAAUGGAAAUUGGGGUACCAGGGGCGGGCGAGAGGAAACGAGAAGAGGAAGAAAGAGGGGUUUUAGAGAGAGUGGGAAUUAGUGGAGGCAAAAAUGGAGAGUUUUGCCUCCACUAAUGAUUGGUGGGGUGGUGAUGGCGGUGGUGGGGUUAAUGUUCUGGAGGGUAUGCUGAAGAGAGGUCGCAAGAGAACCUCCAUAGCCUUUAAAGAGAGUUGAGUUGCUGCUUUCUUUUGCCGUGGAUGGAGAGAGAUUAAGGGAUUAGAAUUCUGUAUGGAAUUUACUUUUUAUUAAAUAAAAAAUUAAUGUUAAAAUCAUUUUAUUUUAUUUUUUUAUCUAGUUAUCAUUGACUUAAUAUUUUGGAUCUUCAUCCAAAGUAAAGGCACAAAAUUUUUAUUCUAAAUAAAUAUUCUCAAUAUAAAUUUAUCACUUAAAUAAUAAAUGAUAAGAUUUUAUAUUAAUUCUGUCAUUACUGAAAUGAAUUACAAAUUUUAUAUGACGUGUAAACGUAUCAUUAUAUUCUUGAUAUUUGACAUCUUGACUAAAGCAACAAAUGUAUCAUAUUUUUAUUUUGGUAUUGUGGUUCUCUAAAAAUACCCUCACCAAAUUAGCUUAAUUCUUUUCAUUGUACCCAUUGCUUCUCUUCCUCUUUUCGUCAACGACAAUGGGUAACUUAAUCUCAACCUUCUUACCAGCAGACUUAUUUGAUCGAACUUCAAACUGCGUUGGUGAACAAGCAAAAUAUGUAUGGGGUCUCGAAAAAAAUCUUCGGGUCUUGGAGACUGAAUUGCACAAAUUGACUCGAGCAAGGGCCGAUCUGAAGACCAAGGUUGAGGUCGAAGAACAACGACCUCGAACCAGACGAACGAACCAGGUCGCAGGGUGGCUUGAAGAUGUGCAAAAUCUGGAAACUGAAUUUACCGAGCUGGAACGAGUUAGAGCUCAUGAAAUGGAUAGAUUGUGCCUUGGAGG
rnacentral:lncRNA from 1 species